rnacentral:rRNA from 1 species
UAAAGUGGCGACCGGGUGGGUAACACGUGACUAACCUACCCCUCGAGUGGGGAAUAACUCCGGGAAACCGGGGCUAAUACCGCAUAACAUCUUCGGAACGCGAGUUCUGUUAAUCAAAGGAGCAAUUCGCUUGAGGAGGGAGUCGCGGCUGAUUAGCUAGUUGGCGGGGUAAUGGCCCACCAAGGCUUAGAUCGGUAGCCGGCCUGAGAGGGCGCACGGCCACACUGGAACUGAAACACGGUCCAG